GAUGAACGCUGGCGGCGUGCUUAAUACAUGCAAGUCGGACGGAGAUUGCAGCGAUGUAAUCUUAGUGGCGAACGGGUGAGUAACGCGUUGGUGACCUGCCCCACAGCGUGGGAUAACAGUUCGAAAGGACUGCUAAUACCGCAUGGAGUUCCGUGAGUUAGAGAAGCGGAACGAAAGGUGCAAACCGCUAUGGGAGGGGCCUGCGUCCCAUCAGCUAGUUGGUAGGGUAAAGGCCUACCAAGGCGACGACGGGUAGGGGGCCUGAGAGGGUGACCCCCCACACUGGCACUGAAACACGGGCCAGACACCUACGGGUGGCAGCAGUAGGGAAUAUUGGGCAAUGGGCGAAAGCCUGACCCAGCAACGCCGCGUGCACGAUGAAGGCCUUCGGGUCGUAAAGUGCUUUUCGGGGAGACGAGGAAGGACGGUAUCCCCGGAAUAAGGAUCGGCUAACUUCGUGCCAGCCGCCGCAGUAACAC
rnacentral:rRNA from 1 species